rnacentral:snRNA from 1 species
CAGCUUAGGAUUAUCAACUU